GAUGAACGCUGGCGGCGCGCCUAACACAUGCAAGUCGAACGGUUAAAGCACCUUUUAGGUGUGUAUAAAGUGGCGAACGGCUGAGUAACACGUGGGCAACCUGCCCUCCUCUUGGGGAUAGCCUCGGGAAACCGAGGAUAAUACCCGAUACUUCAAUGUGGCCGCAUGGCGACAUUGAGAAAGCUUUUGCGGAGAAGGACGGGCCCGCGGCCUGUUAGCUUGUUGGUGGGGUAGAGGCCUACCAAGGCAAUGAUGGGUAGCUGGGUUGAGAGACCGACCAGCCAGAUUGGGACUGAGACACGGCCCAGACUCCUACGGGAGGCAGCAGUGGGGAAUCUUGCACAAUGGGCGAAAGCCUGAUGCAGCGACGCCGCGUGCGGGACGAAGGCCUUCGGGUUGUAAACCGCUUUCAGCAGGGACGA
rnacentral:rRNA from 2 species